UACACAAAUCUCAAGUACCCUCCCUCUGGAAGUUCGCCCUCCUGUUGUAAACCCUCUUUUUAAAAGAAAAACAAAAUGGCAGUCCCCCGAAAAAAGACCCGCUCAUUCCUGCCCCGCAGCCGGGAAAUCUUAAGAGUCAACAGUUUCAGCAAAUUUUAGCGGCAAAGACUCCUUCAGCGAUUUGCACCCUCUGCAUCGAAAAUCUGGGGUCCCAACCACCCGCCCUCCGGAGUUACGGGCCGUAUAGAGUCCGUGGGGAGUUAGAAUCUCCUGUGGAAACCGGGGACUAGUCCCCUAUCAUGAGGGAAGGACAGGGCAGAGGCAAUUCUUUAGGCGGGAUAGACUUCCAGGGGCAGAGGCGGAGGGGGCGAACAUGAGGGAGAAACCCGGUGGGGCAGGCCGGUAUCGGGGCGGAAUCGAAGGGGGGGACACGUAAAGCAUGUGGAGCGAACAAGAUUAGAUAUCCAAGUACUCCCUGCGGUAAACGUGGGAAACUAGGAAAAGAGGACAUUACACGGUGUGGGUGUCGCAGCUAGCGCAUUAUGUUCCCCGCCUGGGGAGUACGGCCGCAAGGCUAAAACUCAAAGGAAUUGACGGGGGCCCGCACAAGCGGCGGAGCAUGCGGAUUAAUUCGAUGCAACGCGAAGAACCUUACCAAGGCUUGACAUAUACCGGAAACGUCCAGAGAUGGUCGCCCCGCAAGGUCGGUAUACAGGUGGUGCAUGGUUGUCGUCAGCUCGUGUCGUGAGAUGUUGGGUUAAGUCCCGCAACGAGCGCAACCCUCGUUCUAUGUUGCCAGCACGUAAUGGUGGGAACUCAUAGGAGACUGCCGGGGUCAACUCGGAGGAAGGUGGGGAUGACGUCAAAUCAUCAUGCCCCUUAUGUCUUGGGCUUCACGCAUGCUACAAUGGCCGGUACAAAGGGCUGCGAUACCGUAAGGUGGAGCGAAUCCCAAAAAGCCGGUCUCAGUUCGGAUUGAGGUCUGCAACUCGACCUCAUGAAGUCGGAGUCGCUAGUAAUCGCAGAUCAGCAACGCUGCGGUGAAUACGUUCCCGGGCCUUGUACACACCGCCCGUCAAGUCAUGAAAGUCGGUAACACCCGAAGCCAGUGGCCUAACCGCAAGGAGGGAUCUUAUGUACGUGAGUACUACAGAACUUCA
rnacentral:rRNA from 1 species